rnacentral:rRNA from 1 species
GAUGAACGCUAGCUACAGGCUUAACACAUGCAAGUCGAGGGGAAACGAUGAGAGAGCUUGCUCUCUCAGGCGUCGACCGGCGCACGGGUGAGUAACGCGUAUCCAACCUGCCCAUUACAGGGGAAUAACCUUGCGAAAGUAAGACUAAUGCCCCAUAGUAUUCUCAGCAGACAUCUAAUGAGAAUUAAAGAUUUAUCGGUAAUGGAUGGGGAUGCGUCUGAUUAGCUUGUUGGCGGGGUAACGGCCCACCAAGGCAACGAUCAGUAGGGGUUCUGAGAGGAAGGUCCCCCACAUUGGAACUGAGACACGGUCCAAACUCCUACGGGAGGCAGCAGUGAGGAAUAUUGGUCAAUGGGCGAGAGCCUGAACCAGCCAAGUAGCGUGCAGGAUGACGGCCCUAUGGGUUGUAAACUGCUUUUAUAGGGGAAUAAAGUGAUCCACGUGUGGAUUAUUGUAUGUACCCUAUGAAUAAGGACCGGCUAAUUCCGUGCCAGCAGCCGCGGUAAUACGGAAGGUUCGGGCGUUAUCCGGAUUUAUUGGGUUUAAAGGGAGCGUAGGCCGUAGAUUAAGCGUGUUGUGAAAUGUAGAUGCUCAACAUCUGACUUGCAGCGCGAACUGGUUUACUUGAGUGUGCACAACGUAGGCGGAAUUCGUCGUGUAGCGGUGAAAUGCUUAGAUAUGACGAAGAACUCCGAUUGCGAAGGCAGCUUACGGGAGCACAACUGACGCUGAAGCUCGAAGGUGCGGGUAUCAAACAGG